rnacentral:misc_RNA from 1 species
AGUUCUGCUUCCUGUGUGGCUGCAGAUGACAACACCCCAUGAGAAGGACCCAGCCUCCGAGUGUCCACACUGGGUGGGAAGGAGGGGAGGCUAUUUCUCUCUGUGUGUCUCUGUCCUGCCAGCACCGAGGGCUCAUCCAUCCGCAGAGCAGGGCAGUGGGAGGAGACGCUAUGACCCCCAUCGUCACAGUCCUGAUCUGUCUCAGGGAGUCCCGUGACCCUCUGGUGUCAGGGGAUCCUGGAGACCCAGGAGUACCGUCUGUAUAGAGAAAAGAAAACAGCACCCUGGAUUACACGGAUCCCACAGGAGAUUGUGAAGAAGGGCCAGUUCCCCAUCCCAUCCAUCACCUGGGAACACACAGGGCGGUAUCGCUGUUUCUACGGUAGCCACACUGCAGGCUGGUCAGAGCCCAGUGACCCCCUGGAGCUGGUGGUGACAGGAGCCUACAUCAAACCCACCCUCUCAGCUCUACCCAGCCCUGUGGUGACCUCAGGAGGGAACGUGACCCUCCAUUGUGUCUCACAGGUGGCAUUUGGCAGCUUCAUUCUGUUGAUCUCCUGGAGCUCCUGGUCCUAGCUCCCUGGCCCACAGCCCCAGGCUGGGCUCUCCCAGGCCAACUUCACCCUGGGCCCUGUGAGCCGCUCCUACGGGGGCCAGUACAGAUGCUCCGGUGCAUACAACCUCUCCUCCGAGUGGUCGGCCCCCAGCGACCCCCUGGACAUCCUGAUCGCAGGACAGUUCCGUGGCAGACCCUUCAUCUCGGUGCAUCCGGGCCCCACGGUGGCCUCAGGAGAGAACGUGACCCUGCUGUGUCAGUCAUGGGGGCCGUUCCACACUUUCCUUCUGACCAAGGCGGGAGCAGCUGAUGCCCCCCUCCGUCUCAGAUCAAUACACGAAUAUCCUAAGUACCAGGCUGAAUUCCCUAUGAGUCCUGUGACCUCAGCCCACUCGGGGACCUAC